UAAUAUAAUUGUGCAUAUUGUUGAAGACAAUAUUGUAUAGAUUGUUUAAACGUGUUGCGGAAGACAACGAUUUGAUGUGAAUUAAAUAUUCAUCUCUUAUCCCGUAAAAUUUAUUGGUUCUACACAUAUUUGGACUCAAUUUAACACAACAUUUUAAUUUUAGGGUAUGGAAGAGACAUAAAAUGAAGUUGGAACGAAGCCAGAAUAUUCCGCUCGACUGAGUGGAAAUGUGUCUAGAAGUGACUCGGACAAAAUGACUAUCAAAUUUCCAAGUCAGAGAGUUUCACUCAAUCGAGUGGAAAUGUGACGAGAAGUAACUUGGACAGAGUAGGUCUAAGUGACCAAAAAUUCCAAGACAGAAGGGAGAUUCUGACAGAACGAGAUAGAGGACAAGAGAGGAAGAGGAAGGAAGAAAGAGAGAAAGAAAGUUCUGGCCAUAAUUCUGACCAAUCGGACCGCUAGCAUCUGUUCCAUAUCACGAUAGCAUGUAUUCUACGAUUUUAUUUAUGUUAUCUACCAUGUUUCUAGGCUAGGUCUUCAAUUGUUGCUCCAAACAUGAUUUAAAUUUGUAAUGGAUGAAUCCUCAUCUAUUUUAUUUA